UGAAGUGUGACUGAAACUAGCAGUGAGUUAAUGUUUCCUGUUCCACAUCACACCAUUAAAACGUCGAAAUGUCUCAAAGGAGAAGAUGCUGAGGACCCAGAUCGCUCAGUGUCUGCAGGCUGCCUUAAGAGCUUGGGCUGGGUGGUUUGAAAAUUUCAAGAGGAAACAGCUCAUGAAAUGAUGAAAUAGAGAACUGAGGCCACGUCAGGAGGAGAUCAGAUUAUGACUUGUGCUCCUGACUUGCUCAGAUGGAGGUGCUCCAUCAGCAGUGCGGGGGCAGCUAGGAUGCUAAUCACAGGCGGGUGAACAGGGCUUUGGUUUUAUUUAAGAGAAUUGUGGUAGGUGGGGACGGUUUUACGAGUAAGUCUGCCUUUCUGAGAGAGGGUUUUGGGUAAGUAGCUUGGUGACAUCAUACCACUUGGAUGAAAGAAGACUCAAGCCAGCCUUUCUUUGGGCAGGAGGUCCUGAGACCAGCAACUUCCCUGUUUCGAGGGUGAACCAUUCCAUUAUGCAGGUGUCUCUGUCCUGAGUCUGGCUGGUGACUGAUGUUUGCAUGUUGCGGUUUUUCUAAAAUAGGAUGGACUGCAAUUUAUUGUCGUGCAUAGGGGAGAUGGCCCUCAGACAAUUCAUGCAUCUUUGGGGAAAAAAUGUCAAAUUGUAUAAAUUCAAGAUUAUUUAGGAAACACAUGCAAUUUUGGUUGCCUUAUUGAAUAAAAAGAUAACUAGAUUGCCCUAGUACAGAGGAAAUAUUGAAACUAUGUGUAACUUUAUUCUUUUUUUCUGAAAUUAUGGACAGGGCAUAAAUUUACCUCAGGGUAGAGGAUGGCAUUGCCUUGCUAAAUUCACCUCUAAUUAGUUUCAUUUUUUUAUCUUGAUGUCAAAUUUGAGGAAAAUUAUAUUCAUUCACUUUCUCCUACAGUUUCAUUCUUCCUUUGCUUACUCUUAUGUGAUUUUUUUUUCCCCAAAGAAUACAUUGCUCAGGGGUCUCCUUUAGGAAACACCUGACUUCAGGAGUGAUAACAAGUUAUCCUUUGGUGCGUCUGACCCUUGCAAAUUCAUAGCAUCCUUUGUGAUGUGGGCAUUUCUAGGCUUAUCUCCAGGGACAUCCUAGGAUCAGGAUUCAUGGAAUAUCGACACUGCAGAGCUGGAUGGGAGUAGAAAGCCCUUCUUAGUCCUGUGAUUUCACUUGGUGGAUCGGAGGCAACAGUUGGGACAGGAGGGAGAAACUUAGAUGUAUAGUGUUAGUCAACUUGAUUUGUACUCACUGUCUGCUCUCCUGAUCAGCCUCUACCUUGGGUGGGAUCUGGUUUUACACACACAUGUAGGUGUAACAGGUACAGUGUUGGUAGA
rnacentral:lncRNA from 1 species